UACAGAGGUCUCAAGCGUUGUUCGGAUUCAUUGGGCGUAAAGGGUGCGUAGGCGGUUCGGCAAGUCGGAUGUGAAAUCUCCACGCUCAACGUGGAGGGGCCAUUCGAAACUGCCGUGACUCGAGUCCGGUAGGGGAGUGGUGGAAUUCCCGGUGUAGCGGUGAAAUGCGCAGAUAUCGUAAGGAAGACCAGUGGCGAAGGCGGGUCUCGUGGACAGUUCCUGACGCUGAGGCACGAAGGCCCAGGGGAGCAAACGGG
rnacentral:rRNA from 1 species